AUGCUAAUCAUAAGUGGAUACAUUGGUUUUCUUGGUGGAAGAUGUGCAUACCGAAGAAAAAAAGGAGGCAUGGGGUUCAGAGAUAUUCAUUGCUUUAACCUUGCACUAUUGGCUAAACAAGCUUGGCGUCUUAUCUAUAACCCAAACUCUCUAUGUGCACAGAUUUUGAAAAGCGAAAUAUUAUCCAGAUGGUGA
rnacentral:rRNA from 1 species